rnacentral:lncRNA from 1 species
AGGGUCACUGCCACUGACUGCAGCUUGCUGCCUUCUGCCCUGUGAGUCAUCAUCCAAGUUUUUGGGUCACACUUGGAGAGCCAAAGCCUUCCCUGAAGCUGAGGUCAUAAAACUGAAAAAGACAAAGCUCUGCUUUCAGAGAGCAGGUUUGGUAGGUGGUGAGCAAAGCCAUCUCUGAGAGGCCAGCCUGACUUUGGGUAUGGGAGUCCCCAAGAAGCCCAGCAGGAGAGGGCUGACCCAUUCAGCUCCCCCAGCCCCAACAGCCAAAGAUUACACCUGGAUCAAGAGCUCAGGAGCGGGAAGCUGCUUCUCCUAGUCACUAUGGACACGGCACCCUCGGGACCUGGGCUUCGGCGAAGAUAGAAUAUGACAGUCACAAGAUUCACACCUCAAGCCAUGAGACGUGAUCUUCUUGCUCCAUCCCCUGGCAGGGUCACUGGUAGUCGGUUCCAUAGCUACAGUGGUGCACACAGCACUCCUCACCUCUGUGUUGCAGGAACUGCCACUAUUUUCUCCACCUUUUUUUUUAACCUUUGCCAUAUCCAAGUACGUUAUCAAGCAGGAUUUGUGGAUACUGAGACUGGCUGAAUACUUACACAUAUAUUUCUCUGGUAAGCUAACACCACCAAACCAUGCAGAAACCAGAAAUUUAGUGUUCAUAUGUCAUGACUCAACACAAAGAGAGUUUUGUCACAGAAGAUAAAACAGAUGAACUAGUAAUAGCAAACAGGAAACAUGAGUUGUAUAGCAGGCUCUGUGCUAAGCACUUUAAUUUCUAUUAUUAUUACUUUCAUUAAAAAAAAAAAACCUGAUGCUUCUUGGUAUACUCUAGGUACUUAUCCCUUGUAGGUUUUAGAUAUAAAUCUUUUCUCAUUUGUCAUCUUUUGGCUGUUCUGGCUUAUAGUGUAUGUCCUUUAACAGAAAUUCUUAAUUUUUAAAACAUAGUCAAAAACCAAUAAAUUUCCAACUUGGUGGUUUGGCCAUCAAGAAUCUCCUUUAACGCCUCCAGUAGCUUCUCUUAGCUUUACAAUUUUACCUUGGCACUGAAUUUCUGUUCUGUAUAUUCUUGAGACAGUGAACCAACCUGUUUUCUUUCAUAUAUUAAUCCUCCAUACCCUCAGGUUCUGCAUUCACAGAUUCAACCAAUCACAAAUCAAAAGUAUUUGGGGGAAAAAAUUGCAUCUGUACUAAAUAUGUACAAGCUUUAAAAUAUUAUUUCCUAAAUAAGAAGUUUAGGGCCGGGGAUAUAGCUCAGUUGGUAGAGUGCCUGCCUUACAGGCACAAGGCACUGGGUUCAAUCCUUAGCACCACACACACGCACACACACAAAGUGUAAGAACUGCUUAUGACACUUAUACUGUGUUAGGUAUUAUAGCAAUCUC